CAGGGGUCAAGUUGGAGCUACCGCUGCUGGUCUACACCACAGCCCCAGCAACAUGGGAUCCGAUCUGCAUCUGCAACCUAUACCACAGCUCAAGGCAACACCAGACCCCUGGCCCACUGAGCAAGGCCAGGGACCGAAUCCGCAUCCUCAUAGAGAUGAGUUUCUGCUGCGUCACCACAGGAAUGCCUGUUUAUUUUUUUAGCUAAGCCUUUUUCUGGGAAGGGCUAGCUGAUGCAUCACUGUUAGCUCCAUAGGAAUUGUAGGAAGGACUUGAGAAAACAUUUUCCACUGUGAGGAAGCGUGACAGAAUUGCAUGGACAGGUGAAAAACAUUUACAGGUAAGGGGCUUGAAAAAUGGCUUUGCCGUGGUGCAGUGACCUGGGAAACCAGGCCCUCUCAUCUGUGCCUGGUAGCCCCCAGUGCUUGUGUAAAAAUAGGGUGGUAGGACAGGUGUACUAGCCCUGGUCUAAAAGCUCCAUGAAUCGCCAAGCAGGGCCAAGCUUUCCCGUUGGCUCCGGGUGCUCAGUACAUCUCUGUGCAGGAAGAUACUGUCUGAAAAAGCAACCUGAACCAUUCUCUCUGCCUGGCAGAGGGAUCGCCAGCCCCGCUGUCACCCCUGGGGAGUGAGGGGACAAAAAAGGAGAGAGGACCGAUGACCAUUAACAUUCGAUACCCAGAACCCUCUGUGGGUCUAGCUGCAUGAUGUCCUUGAGUCUCUGGGUGUGGCUGACAGGUGGACUCGGAGAGCUCCUUCUCACCAGACUCUAAGUCUCACAACUGAGGUGACAUGUGUGGCCUGUGAAUGCAUUAGGGGCUAACGUGUCAGAACUAAGGUCUCAAAGUGUUGGCUUAUGGGAGUUCUCUUCAUAGCUCAGUGGUUAACCCGACCAGGAUCCAUGAGAAUUUGGGUUCCAUCGCUGGCCUCGCUCAGUGGGUUAAGGAUCCAGCAUUACCACGAGCUGUGGUGUAGGUUGCAGAUGCAGCUUGGAUCCUGAGUUGCCACGGCUGUGGCGUAGGCCAGCAGCUAUACUCUGAUUAGACCCUUAGCCUGGGAACCUCCAUAUGCUGCAGGUGUGGCCCUAAAAAGCAGAAGAAAAAAAAAAGUGUUGGCUUAUACAAAACCAUCUUAAAAGAAGUAUUUGGUUCUAUUUGGUGUUUGUAAGAGUAAUAUUGGUAUCAGCUUAGGUAGGGUUUGCUGUGUGCCAGGCCCUCUUCUAGUCACAUGUAUGUUACAUAUUUAUACAGACAAAAGUGUUUUACAAAAUCUACAUAUUUACAUUUCAAAUUAUAUAUUAAAAUUGAUGUAUAUCUUUUAUUCCUCACAUGAGCCUUAUGACAUAGGCACUCAUGUGUUUUUCGGGGGAGGCAAGUGAGACGUGAAGUGAUUCAGUGAGGUGUCCAGGAUAAAUGGUACACCUGAGACUCUCAAACCCAGCUGAUCUGUUGCUGGAGCCAGUGCUGCUAACGAUUGUGUUGUUUCUAGAUUUGUUCGAGCCAAUUUUAUUUAUUUAUUUUUUUUGGCUUUUUAGGACCGUACCUGAGGCAUAUGGACGUUCCCAGGCUAGGGGUUGAAUCACCUGUCGGAGCAGAGCCACAGCAGUACCGGAUCCGAGCCAUACCUGCCACCCGCACCACUGCUCACAGCAAUGCUGGAUCCUUAACCCACUGGGUGAGGCCAGGGAUCAAACCCACGUCCUCAUGGAUACUAGUCAGGUUUGUAAUCUGCUGGGCCACAGUGGAAACUCCUGAGCCAAUAUUUUUUUUUAAAGAAUUAUUUAUUUUGAGCCAAAUUAUUUUAAUCGGGAGAUUUCAUACCACAAUCUGGAGCCAGCUUCUCUUGACAGGUCAGAAGAAUUGGGGACCCUGGGCUGUCCCCCUUGGGGGAGCAACUGGCUGGUGCCCAGUCAGCCCCCCCCGCCACCCCUCCUGCUGCCUCUUGUUCCUGGCUCCGAGUCCCUGCUCACUUGACCCGGUUCCCGUACCUAUUUGUACCUGCAGACAUUUCUGUUUUCAACCUCUGGGUUAAGCUUGAAAAUAUUUGUAGAUAUGACAUGUGUCCCAGUGUCAGGCCCUUGUCCUCCAGGAUGGCACGUAUUUUCAGCCUCAUUUUCCCUGUGAGGUCAUCACGCAGAGUGACCCAGUGAGCUCUGCUCCACAUCUGUGCUUGGUUCCUGUAUCAUUCCUUCUCACCUUGGGGUCUGGGGCUUCCUCUGACCCUGUUAGGGAUUCUCUGCAAAAGCUGAUAAUUAGAGCAGAACGUGUGGGACUGAAGCAGCUGAGUGUGAAAAGGCUAACAGCCCAGGUGUGUUUUUGCCUGUGCACAGACUAGGCAGCUACAGAGCAUGGUCGGCUCUCUACAACUAUUGAGUGGAAAAUAGACCAGAAAGUGUAACUCUUGGAGAGGAAAGAAAUUUGACAAUAUUUCAAAAAGUGAGUCAGUAUCUAGUAUAUACUUCUUUUUUCUUUUUUCUUUCGUCUUUUGAGGGCCACACCCAAGGCAUGUAGAGGUUUCCAGGCUAGGGGUCCAAUUGGAGCUCUUACUGCCAGCCUACACCACAACCACAGUAAUGCCAGAUCUGAGCCGAGUAUGCAACCUACACCACAGCUCACGGCAACGCCAGAUCCUUAACCCACUGAGCGAGGCCAGGGAUCGAACCCACAACCUCAUGGUUCCUAGUUGGAUUCAUUUCCACUGUGCCACAACGGGAAUUCCAAUGUAUACAUUUUUAAAUGUUUUAUUUACUGAGCUCCCCCUUCCCCCUCCUUAUUACUAGAGGAAAUAACCAUGCUUUUUCUAGCCUGUAAUCCAGGAUGAUUUGUCAUUGUUGUUGUUAAGAAAAUGCAGUGUGGCCCAUUUUCUCAAGCAAGUUGGUUUUAAGAUGCCCAGAAUUCUCUGCAGGUGUCUGGAGAGUUGGAGCAAAAGCACUCGCUAUCAAGAGCCACUGAGAAGGGAGGUUUGGGCUUGGUAAUUGUCUCAGCAGGUGGUUGGGGGUCCUUGACCUUCAAGAAACUUUUGUGUUGCCAGCUGUACCAGGGGGCUCAGGGGCUUAGUCUUCCCUCAUGGGAGCAGGUUUUCUUGUUACCUAUUAUAAGGCUGAAACCACCAUGUGAGGGUUUUUUGCACAGCCCCGUCUGCUUCCCGGUCUCAAUGUGCUGUGUUUGUUUUGUCCCCCCUCCGUGACCCUCAUUCCACAGAAGUUGUGUAUCUGGAAGAGUGACUUCCCUUUGGUCGUAGCCGCACGUGGGCUGGGUAAUCUGUAAAAUUCGGAUCGUGUUCAGUCAAUGCCAUGGUCAUUGACCGUGUAACUCAGGCAAGGCAGUGGGCUGGACUGCUACGUGGAAACACAGGCCACUAAGAGGUGGUCUGUGUCUUAAGGGACCCAGUUGGGGCAUAUAAAGCAAAAGCCUACAGGAGUGUAAUAGCUGUAGGAAAUGAAAACGUGAAUCAGAGGAGGAAGGGGGAAUACGCAGCCGUGAUGAAUUUCCAAGUGCAGGCCAAGAAGGGAGGUGAGCUAGAGAAAGUCUGGGUUCUCUUUGAUAAGAUUCCUUCCUGGAGAAGCUGGGGAGCCCGGAGUGAGUGUGCACAGCACAAUGAGAGGGACGCUUGGAAGGGGAACAAAGCUGCUUGUGUAAGUGCGACGGGGGAUGCUAGCCUCUUCAGCCGAGUCUGGAAAUUCAUUCUGUAACAAAGAGCUGUCAUUCCAAGUCAAUGACACCUUCUAAAUCCUCUCAGACUGUGCCCAAAAUUACAGAGAAGAAAUGGCAGGUCGAUUCCAUUUGGCCAGAACUGGGUAGCUGUGUACUUCGCUCACAUACCUAGAUCUAACGGAGAUGAGACAGAGUGGCCAGGCGAUAAAGCGAGUCAGUCCAGGAUGGGGAGGAGGCUGAUGCAGAACAGAUAACGAAGGGGCGAGAUUUGAAAGCAUGGCGUCUAAGUCUUGCUGUGUAAUGAACAGAGGAGAGUGGAGGGCUGAGAUCUGAGACCCCAGUGCACCUGUGUCUGGAGCUCCCCUGCCAGCAGCUUGGCUUCAGCUCUGGGAAAUGUGGGUGAGCUCCCUGGGAACCUGACUGCCUCGGGCCACCUUGACUGCUUGUUGAAAAGAGCCAAAGGCCAGUAUUUCCUCUAAAGGUCAUAGAUAGGUGGCCUGGUGGUUAAGAACUUGAACUUCGGUAUCAAGUUCUGGCUCCCCCAUCUACUGGCUGUGUGGCCUUGAGCAAGGCACCUACCCUCUCUGAGCCUUGGAUUCAUCAUUUGUGAAAUGAAAGAAAAAAAA
rnacentral:lncRNA from 1 species